AGUGAACGCUGGCGGUAGGCCUAACACAUGCAAGUCGAACGGCAGCACAGUAAGAGCUUGCUCUUACGGGUGGCGAGUGGCGGACGGGUGAGGAAUACAUCGGAAUCUACUUUUUCGUGGGGAUAACGUAGGGAAACUUACGCUAAUACCCCAUACGACCUACGGGUGAAAGCAGGGGAUCUUCGGACCUUGCGCGAUUGAAUGAGCCGAUGUCGGAUUAGCUAGUUGGCGGGGUAAAGGCCCACCAAGGCGACGAUCCGUAGCUGGUCUGAGAGGAUGAUCAGCCACACUGGAACUGAGACACGGUCCAGACUCCUACGGGAGGCAGCAGUGGGGAAUAUUGGACAAUGGGCGCAAGCCUGAUCCAGCCAUACCGCGUGGGUGAAGAAGGCCUUCGGGUUGUAAAGCCCUUUUGUUGGGAAAGAAAAGCAGCAGGUUAAUACCCCGCUGUUCUGACGGUACCCAAAGAAUAAGCACCGGCUAACUUCGUG
rnacentral:rRNA from 1 species